rfam:Hordeum vulgare subsp. vulgare, WGS project CAJW01000000 data, contig: morex_contig_136182
UGUAUAUUCCCUCCAUCUCAAAACGCUUGUCUUAGGUUUGUUUAGAAACGGAUGUAUCUAAAUACUAAAAUGUGACUAGAUACAUUCAUAUCUAUAUAAAUUUAAGACAGAAAAUUUGGGACAAAGGGAGUACUAU